AUAAACAAGAGAAGGAAAAAAUAAUAAAUCAAAUCUAAUAAAGAAAGCCAAUAGAUACUGUUGGAACUCUUUAGAGAACACUCGACCUUUAUCUUCAAUCGUAGCUCCGGCGAUCAGUUGACGAUGACGAUGAUGAGAAAGGCUACAAGCUCGAGUGAAUUCCACCUUAGGCAUUUCAGAUUGUCAUAAAUGUCGUGCAUUCUAUCUUAAUAAAGACUUCUUCAGCUUUCAACCCAACAUCAUAUGUUUAAAGAUAUAGCAACUUCUCAAAGAAUCUUGAAAUGAGCUAAUAUGAAUGUUUUAACCUAUCAGUUCCAUUAUUUGUGCAGGCAAAGUUUCGAAGAACUAAUACCACUUCAACAAACUUGGAUCUAGUGAGAGAAAAGGUGACAAGUAUAUACCAAUACCUCGAGGAUAAGAAGAGGGUACAAUUCUAGGUAUUUCAAAGCCAUGACGCAUAAUGCUCUCUAUUGGCUAGGUGUAUUAAUCAUACCCAAUGUUUUUGGUUCUACAAGGGAAAUUUCAAAAAGAGUCGGCAGCCGAAGAGGUUUAAGUUCUAGAAGAUGGAUCAUAGAUGAAUUUCGAGAAAAAUGUAAUGGAUGUCCUGGUAUCAGUUGUUGUGAGAGGCAAGCAAGUGAGGAGUAAAAUCAAGAGUAAUAAAAGUAUUUAUUUUUAUA